GAUGAACGCUGGCGGCAUGCCUAACACAUGCAAGUCGAACGGAGAUUUUGAAAGCUUGCUUUUGAAAUCUUAGUGGCGGACGGGUGAGUAACGCGUGAGUAACCUGCCUCUCAGAGGGGGAUAACGUUCUGAAAAGAACGCUAAUACCGCAUAUAAUUGCGAAACCGCAUGGUUUUGUAAUGAAAGGAGCAAUCCGCUGAGAGAUGGACUCGCGUCUGAUUAGCUAGUUGGUGAGGUAACGGCUCACCAAGGCGACGAUCAGUAGCGGACUGAGAGGUUGAACGGCCACAUUGGGACUGAGACACGGCCCAGACUCCUACGGGAGGCAGCAGUGGGGGAUAUUGCGCAAUGGGGGAAACCCUGACGCAGCAAUGCCGCGUGAAGGAUGAAGGUUUUCGGAUUGUAAACCUUUGUUGACAGGGACGAUAAUGACGGUACCUGAGGAGGAAGCCACGGCUAACUACGUG
rnacentral:rRNA from 1 species